AACGAACGCUGGCGGCAUGCCUAACACAUGCAAGUCGAACGACACCUUCGUGUCUAGUGGCGCACGCGGGCGUAGAGCGUCGGACCCUGCCCUUAGGCUCGGAAUAACACCCCGAAAGGGGUGCUAAUACCGGAUAAUGUCUUCGGACCAAAGAUUUAUCGCCUUUGGGUGAGCCCGCGUUGUAUUAGCUAGUUGGUAGGGUAAGAGCCUACGACGGCGACGAUCCAUAGCGGGUCUGAGAGGAUCAUCAGCGACUCUGGGACUGGGACGCGGCCCAGACUCCUACAGGAUGCAGCAGAGGCUAAUACUGGACUAUCGCCGGGGGGAUGAUCCACCAAUGCCUCGUGAGUGAUGAAGUUCUGAGGGUUGUGAAGCUCGUUUACCCGGGAUUAUAAUGACGGUACCGAAAGAAUAAGCACCGGCUAACUCCGUG
rnacentral:rRNA from 1 species